rnacentral:rRNA from 1 species
UACGUAGGGGGCAAGCGUUGUCCGGAUUUAUUGGGCGUAAAGCGUCCGUAGGCGGCUUAUCAGGUGGAAUGUGAAAACCCACGGCUCAACUGUGGGCCUGCACUCCAAACCGGUAGGCUAGAGUCUAGUAGGGGGAAAUGGAACUCCAGGUGUAGCGGUGAAAUGCGCAGAUAUCUGGAGGAACACCGGUAGCGAAGGCGGUUUCCUGGGCUAGUACUGACGCUGAGGGACGAAAGCUAGGGGAGCGAAC